rnacentral:lncRNA from 1 species
UUUGAUUCCUUGUGUGAGCGUGGGUGAUAUUUUUGUUUCGAUUAUGAGAUAGAGGUUGGGUUUGAGUGAAAUUCUGAGGUAGUUAAGAGUUAGUUGGUCGGUUAGUAGUGAGAUAAUGUGGGGGUUCUAAUUUGAUUUUAUUUGCUUUUUUCAAAAUUUCCCCUCUCUUCCCAAAAGUCUGACGUUAGUUCUCUCUGUUCUCUGCCACUUUUUUCUUCUUCUUUUUUUCCUGCGAUUUUGUCUUUUAUUUGUUGUC